rnacentral:rRNA from 1 species
AGUGAACGCUGGCGGUAGGCCUAACACAUGCAAGUCGAACGGCAGCACAGUAAGAGCUUGCUCUUACGGGUGGCGAGUGGCGGACGGGUGAGGAAUACAUCGGAAUCUACUUUUUCGUGGGGGAUAACGUAGGGAAACUUACGCUAAUACCGCAUACGACCUACGGGUGAAAGCAGGGGAUCUUCGGACUUUGCGCGAUUGAAUGAGCCGAUGUCGGAUUAGCUAGUUGGCGGGGUAAAGGCCCACCAAGGCGACGAUCCGUAGCUGGUCUGAGAGGAUGAUCAGCCACACUGGAACUGAGACACGGUCCAGACUCCUACGGGAGGCAGCAGUGGGGAAUAUUGGACAAUGGGCGCAAGCCUGAUCCAGCCAUACCGCGUGGGUGAAGAAGGCCUUCGGGUUGUAAAGCCCUGUUGUUGGGAAAGAAAAUCAGCAGGUUAAUACCCCGCUGUUCUGACGGUACCCAAAGAAUAAGCACCGGCUAACUUCGUG